GAGAGUAUUGCUCAGUGGUAGACCCCAUGCUUAGCAUGCACGAGGCCCUGGGUUCAAUCUCCAGUACCUUCG
rnacentral:tRNA from 1 species